UGCCUAUUUAUUUUCCAUGCCUAUCUGAAGGGGGUGGCACUUAUAUGGGCCAUUGGAUGACCAUGACAUGAAACUCUAUCCGUUGGAUAGAGUGGGCGCACCUCAGAGCCUCGUGAUGCAUGGGAAGAAAUAUCGGAGAAUUAAUUUCAGCGAAGAGUCCAUUUGCGCAAAGCAUCUCUUCGGAUUAAUUCCCAAAGCCUUCCAUAUGUCAUGGAAAAUUCUAUGGGGUGUGAGAAAUACAGAUAAGCAUGAGAUAAAGUAGGGAGG
rnacentral:lncRNA from 1 species